UAUUGGGGGGGUGGGGGGUCGGGUCCUUGUCGUGUGUUUGCUUAUUUAUUUGUUUAUGACGUUUUUAGAUGUAUAUUUUUAAGUUUUUUGUGCUCCAAGCCUCGUCUAACCUUGCCUUCAGCACCCCCAGCCUGUCUGGGUGACCUGCUUCAGGGCCUCCCUGCCCUCAGAGGGAAGGAUUUCCUCCUCAUAUCCGACCUAAAUCUCCCCUCUUUCAGCCCAAGCCCGCUCCCCCUCGUCCUCGUCAUCUGCCCAAGCAAAUUGUCCCUCUCCAGCCCUUUUAUACGCUCUCCGUGAGGUGUCCCCACAGCCUCCUCUUCCCCAGGCUGAACACCCCCAUCUCCCUCAGCCUUCCAUCACGGCAGAGCUGCUCCAGCCCCUUAGGCACCUUCGAGUCCCUGCUCUGGACCUGCUCCCACAGCCCCACGUCCUCCUCGUGCUGGGGGCUCCAGCCCUGGACAGAAUCACGGAAUUGUCGAGGUUGGAAGAGACCUCGGGAUUAUCGAGUCAUCGAGCACGCAGCACUCCAGGUGGGGUCUCACAAGGGCAGAGCAGAGGGGGACAAUCCCCUCCCUGCCCUGCUGCCCACCCCUUUUUUAAUGCAGCCCAGGAUGCAGUUGGCUUUCUGGGCUGCGAGCACACACUGCUGCCUCACAGCGAGCUUUUCGUCCACCAGAACCCCCAAGUCCGUCUCUGCAGGGCUGCUCUCAGUGAGUUCUUCUCCCCAGCCUGUCCUCACGUCUGGGAUUGCCCCCACCCAGGUGCAGCACCUUGCACUUGGCCUUGUUGAACCUCGUUAGGUUUAUGUGGGCCCAAUUCUCCAGCUUGUCCAGGUCCUUUUCGAUGCCAUCCCUUCCUUCUGGUGUACCGACUGCACCGCUUGGUUGUGGCCAUCCCACCCCAGCUGGUUGGUGCCGCGCUGCUCUCUGUGCCAUCGUUCCAUCCUAGGUGCCAGGAGGAUCUGCCUGUAACCCACAAACACCAACACCUGCUCCCUAGUGAAACGGGUCGGAGACACGCGUGUCUUUAGGUGUCAGUGGCACAGCAAUGGUUGGAUUUGCUAAACUUCUGAAAAUGCCAGGGAACUGCUGGCGAGCUGAAGGUGAGGCAGCAGUGUGCCCUGGCAGCCAGGAGGGCCAAAUGUACCCUGGGGUGCACCAAGCAUGGCAUCGCCAGUUGGAUGAGGGAAGGGAUUGUCCCUCUGGUGCAGCCUCACGUCGAGCACUGUGUGCAGUUCUGGGCACCACAGCACAAAAAGGACGUGAAACUGUUGGAGAGUGUCCAGAGGAGGGCUGCAAAGAUGGUGAAGGGCCUAGAGGGGAAGAUAUAUGAGGAGCGGAUGAAGUCACUUGGUCUGUUCAGCCUGGAAAAGAGGAGGCUGAGGGGAGACCUCAUCAUGGUCUACAACUUCCUCGCGAAGGGAAGUGGAGGGGCAGGCGCCGAUCGGUUUUCUUUAGUGACCAGCGAUAGGACCUGAGGGAAUGGAGUCAAGAUGCAACAGGGGAGGUUCAGGCUGGACAUCAGGAAGAGGUUCUUCACCAAGAGGGUGGUCGCACACUGGAACAGGCUGCUCAGGGACACAGUCACAGCACCGAGCCCACUGGAGUUGGAGAACCCUUUGGACUGUGCUCUCAGUCAUAUGGUCUGAAUUGCUGGGUGGAUCUGUGUGGUGCAAGGAACUGCACUCGGUGGCCCUGGUGGGUCCCUUCCAGCUCGGGGUACUCUCUGAAGUGUCAGCUCUGUCUCGGUCACUGCUGAGCGAUUCAGAUGCAAGCUCAGCACCUGGGAGGGUCCUUGGCAGGUGGACUUUGGUUGUGUGUACCUGGAGCUGCUCACCCAGGCGUUAGAGAACAGAAUGGGAACAGAAUGCUCUCGCUUGCUUCAGCCUUUGUGUACCUUAAAAGUAUCUGUAAUACCUUUAUGUAGGGCAGAAGCUUAUUUUCAGCAGACUGCUGCAAGCAGAGAGCUGCAGAGGAGCCUUUAUUGUUCUUGCUGUGGAGCGCAGGGCCCGAAGGAGUGUGUCGGGAGGUAUUCCUGCGGCCUUGCUAGUCAGCAGCCCGAAACUGUAUCCCCGCGGACUAAUUCCUCUUUGGGGUGUUUCUGUAUUUUCAGCUUCUCCUUUUUCUCUCCCUUCUCUUUGCCUUCUUAACCCAGUUGCGUAAACUUGGCUCCUCCUGUGGUGCCUUCUGCAUGUGAAGUGGCUCAGGACAGCGUGAUUAUCGUGGUGUCAUUAUCAUCCUGCCCCUGAUGGCUCUCUGCUGGCUGCUGUGCUCCUUGUCAAGCCUCAUUCAGACCUCGAGGGCUGUUCUGAGCUGCUGCUGUUCUCGUUCCUCUUCUGCCUGGCUCCUGCAGAAGGCUUUCCUUCAAGGAACGUUGCUUGUGAUCGCUUACGUAGGUCUGUGGUCAGACCAUUUCUUUUCCUCUGUCCCUGUAGCUAUGAUUUUCCUAGCACAGCACCGGUUUGCUGUGCUCUGUAGCCUUCCAGGUGCGUCCUCUCUCGGCACUAAAUCGAGGUAGGUGCUGGCUUGCCUUUCUGCGUGAUCCUCUGCCAUCCCUGCUCGUCUGAUCGCAAAGUAAGCUGAUUAAAACUCCUGCUGAGACUGCUUACUGCCAUCUCAUGGAGCCAUAGAGCUCCCUGUGAGCAGGCAGGCUCCCACCUGGCUUUAAAAAGGGCUGGAAAACGUGACAAGAAUCGCCAGGAGAGCACAACAGCUGCUUUGGCUUAUGCUUUUUCUGGAGCCCCUCAGCAACAACCUGUUUAAUCCUCUCUUUCAGCUCCAGGAGCCCUGGUUCUGGGGCCGUUCCCCAGCCAGAGGUCCUCGUGUGCUGCGUGCCCGUGCGGGAUGCUCGGAGCUCGCUGCAGCCAGUUCCUGCUUCUGACACGAGGUGUCAGUGACGGGCUUGGAGCUGCUUCCCCGUUCCAGCUGUGUAAGCACACCUCUGUCCUGGAUAACCAGGCUUAGGAGUCGCUGCGACCUCUCUUGUCGGGAGGAUGCUGAGCUCCUAGAAGCUGAACAUCCUGCUGGAGGUCUGGAGCCUGCUCUGGAGAACAUCAUACCCUGGGUAGAGUCUCACAGCAGAGCUGCUGGAAGGCGUGGAGCUCGAUCUGGGACAGGAAUAUCAGUUCCAGGCAGGCCUUGCUGUUGGUGUUCAGCACUGCAGGCAGCGUACGGAGCUUGGGGGCGAGAAAAAGGAUUUUCUUUAGGAGCAGGAGCUUCUGCACCUUCUUGUCAGCGUUCAGUCCCCUCUCAUUGCUUACCUUCCUCUGCUGGCUGAGGGAAUGGGGCUGGGAAGCAGCCAGCUGGGCUUGUUCUGGGCUUGGUGUGAGCCAGCUGAGCCUCAGAGGUGCCUUUGGGAGAGGCAGAUAAUGGAUAAAAGUGGUUCCUGGGGAAAGGAGGAGUCCCCAAGGAUGCAGUUCUAGGCUGGGUGCUGUGGAACGAGCCAGCACCAGGCUGGUGGUGAGUCCUGAAGAGCAUUUCCAGGGUUGCUCGGGGUGGCUUUGCUGCCUCAGUCAGCUCGGGGGUGGCUCGCUGAGGGCUUGCUGCCCUAAAUGCCUCUUCCAGGGGCAUCCAUGCUCCGAUGGCUUGUCCCCUUCCCUCUCCUCCUCCAUGCAGAGGAGAGGUGAUGAAAUGCUCUGACUGCAGGCUGCCUGCUUGCAAGAGACACCAGAAAACAGUGGCCAGUUUUCAAGCAUCCUGCUGCCUUCCUGUAUGAGAGGAGUCUUAUGACUUGACUUCUGACUUUUUUUUCUUAGGCCUUUUUCCACUUAUGACUUUUUUUUUUAAAAGAACACCAGUCCUGUGAGGAGCGGCUGAGGGAGCUGGGGGUGUUUGGGCUGGAGCAGAGGACGUCCCUGGGGGUGUUCGAGGAGAGGUUGGACGUGGUGCUUGGGGACGUGGUUUGGCGGUGACAGUGGUGGUAGGGGAUGGUCUUGCAGGGCUUUUCCAACCUUAAUGACUCUCUGAAAAGCACUGGAGCCACGGGGGAUGCAUCGUGGCUGUCCUCCCGCUGCACAGAGAGGCUCUGCACUGAACCAAGUGCCUGUGUGGGCUCCUGGCUGCAGCACAUGGGUGUUUUGUGUGCCACGGGCUCCUGCUGAGCGCAGAAUUUUGUUGUGGGAGUCCCAAGGAUCUUCCUUUCCUCCCGCGGAGGCCUUGGCUUUAUCGUGCUGCAGGCCGAGCGCUCCCCACAUCUGCUUUCCCCAAGAGAGGAGCAGAGGAGGCCGUGCUGCCCUUCUCUCUUGGGCUUUAUCACCGUGCUCUUGGAAGCCACGUGAUGGAUUUAAGCCCUGCCACGCUUCAGGACCACCUUGAACUUGGAGGGAGCUUCAGGCUGAGCCCGGAGCUCUGCAGGUGCAGCAGCCCAGCCUUUACAUGUGCAGGGACCUCCUGAAAACACAGGACGGGGCUGCUGCCCUGGCAUCUGCUUUUAUUUUUGUGAAGAGCUGGCCCUGGGCUCGCUGGGGUGCGUUGUGGCUGUGCAGGAGCUCCCAUCCCACAUCUGAUGCCCCAGGCAGAGCUCUGGGGCCUGAGCAGGGCUCAGGAGUGUUCCUGCCCCACUGCGAGUGUGACAAAAGAGCAGCAGCCCCGAGGCUGCCCUGUGCCCGCCGGGGCUGCUCGGUCGGCUCUCCUCUUGAAGCAAGCUGAAGCAAAACACGUCGAAAAUAAACGCCGGCCCUUGCCCAGCCGUGGUGCCAAACGCUGUGGUCUCUGGCUUCCUGCAGGGUUCACCAGAGGCUCGCUGCUGUUUGUUCUGGCCCCCUUUACCAGGUGGAGACCUACCCCACAGCCUCGCGUGGCUGAGCUUCAGGCGGCACCUGAGGUCAGCUGCUCCUCAGGUGCUGCCUGAUGCCUUGUCUGGCUCCUGCCCCUCGGUAGGAGAUGGCAGCGCCCGGGUUUCCCAGCACGUAUCGCCUGCAGCCCCUCGCUGCUGGUGUCCUGGUGGUGUUCCUCCUCCUCUGCUCUCGGUCCCUGCGGUGUGGGACUGCUUCUGCCCCGUUCCUCCUAGCUUCUGAGUGAUUUGUUGCUUUUCCCUUCAGCUUUGCUAGGUUUCACAGCAGUGUCCAGGACUUCGGAGAUUGCAGCCAUGGUUUCCCUUGGCAGAGAUAGGAACACGGGCUGAGGAGCUCUGAAGCAGAAGGUGGAGAGUUAGAGGUGACACAGUGAUGGGGAAAGGGCCAGAGAGGUCACUUCUGGGCCCAGCUGUGGUGCGGUGGAAUUUGCUGCCUGGCACCGGAGCGGCGGAACACCACCGAUACUGCUUUGCAACCACAGAAAAGUCUGAAAUUCUGCAGAAAAGGAAGGGUCUCUCGGCGUUUCUCAAGUCAGGUUUCAGAGAAUCCGUUUCAGAAGCGUCUGAAGUGGUUAUAAACGCAGCGACAAGCUGGGGGGUGAGAGCUGCAGCCUUCUGGAGGGAGACGUGGGCGAUGCAGCUGAUGGGGAGACUGCUUUGAUUUCGUGUACGUGCAGCGAUGGAGUGAGACGUUGGGAUUGCAGCAGGUAAUUGCAUAAAAACAUGGGUUCAGCUCAGAAGCUGUGCAAGCUUUCGUGCCCAUGAGUGAGAGGACAAUCAGUCCUUGCUGGAAGUGCCUAAAACUUGGUGUUGAACAGCACGGCUUCAGGAGGUGAUGGAGAACACGGGCUGGAUGUGUGAGCUGAGCUGGUGGGGCCAUAGGUUGCUGAGAGUGUCCAAAUCAGAGUGCCUGGUCCGAGGGCUGGAAGGAGGCUGCUGUAAGUGCUCGAGAUUACCAUGGCGUGUGCUGCUCCACAGGAAUACCCGGCAGGAAAAGAAAAAAAAAGGACCUGGGCCUGAGGAGCUGGUGUGUUCCUGCGUGAGGCAGCUUUCUGGGAGCUGUGACCCGGCCGUGAGUUACUGGGCUCUGCGGGGGAGGCGAGAGAACAAAAGCAGCGUGGUGAUUCACGAGCUCCCUUGCCAGCUGCUGGCUCAGGACGCUCUUAAAGUGCGUGAACCACCUGGAGAAGCUCCAAAACAGGCAAGUGCUCCCCUCGGAAGCAGUCCCCGGCUUGAAGCCUGCUAGUCAGAGUCUGGGGGGGCUCGCCAGGAUCAGCCCAUCUCCAGGUGGGAGCCCCGAGCAGCGUGGGGAUCUCCAAUUCCAGCUCAGUAGUGGGUCUGCUUGUCAGGCACCGUGCUCCCGAGGCUCCUGUGGCAGGGGAUUCCACCCAGGAAGAGCCCCAGGAUCCAUCAGCACCUCCCAAGCCCUCCUGGAUGGCACCUGGGGAGCACGGCUGGAGGAGGACGGGCUCGUGUGAGGCGCUGCUACGCCGUGGGAUGCUUUGAGGCAGGGUUUGCAACCCCAGCCCGGCUCUUGGAAAAUGUGUUCCGUCCGCUUGGAUGCGAGGAGGCGCAGAGGAGCUGGGUUCCUGCAGCUUGUGGCUGGCCUUGCCUGUAAAAGCGACUUCCAAGUGUUACAUAAACCUCAGUCCUGUUACAGCACAGCCUUGUGCUGGCUCCUGUGCUGUGGCGUGGGGGGCAGCCCCCUCGCUGCGUGGGAUAAAACGCUCCGGCCGGGCAGAGCUUGCUCGGAGCUGGUGAUGGAGAGGCUGCGAGGCACAGGCAGAGCGCGUGGGGGGCAGCUCUGCCCUCUUGGCUGUGCUUUUCCUGCCCCUCCAUCCCUGGCCGGGCAGCAGGGAGGAUUCUUGUGGCCUCAGAGGUAGGAGCUGAGCUGCAGGAGGUGGCGGUGGCACCGCCAGGUCCCUUCCCGCAGCAGCUCGGGGCAGGCCAGAAGUGGCACACAGCUCGCCAAACAAGCGCUGAGCUCUUCUCUUUGCCAGCCCUCUGCUCGGCACCAGCUUUCCCAGCCUGGCCUCCCGCCGUGCCCAAGGUGUUGGGGAUGGGGCUGUCCGCCUCGGGAGUCUUACAGCUUUCCCUUGGUGUUUUCAUUUCCCUCGCAGUCCAGGGGAAUGCAGGAGGCGCAGUGUGGCUGGGAGGUCCCAGCUCCAGGGCUGGGUCAGAUCCGUCUCUUUCCUUGAGGAGAGCUGAAGCUGAAAUCAGGGCAAACGCAGCCAAAACCCCAUGUUGUCUGCACCAUGGACUGCUCUCAGCGAGCCGUUUGAGCUGAGAAAUAAGCGGAAAGCCUGGGAAGUUUCCCUGCUGAAACAAGAUCUGGUGGGACGAUGCGCAGUAAGCGGUUUCCUCUCCAAGUUCCCGUGUAGCUGCAAAACAACAUCACAUGCCUUCUUGCACAGCCUGAGCCUUCCUCAGGGCGGUACGGGGGUGUUGCUGCUGCGGUCCCCUCAGCCUUACCCUGCAGUCUGAUUCCACGGGCACAGUUUUCCUCCUGCAACCUUUUCUCUCAUGCUUGGUGAGCAGCUGCUGACUCUGGCUCCGUGCUUCCAUUAAACGCAAGCUGGUAAAGCUCUGAUCUGACAGCAGCACUUCGUUUCCACUCGUACUCCAAAGCUCAUCUAAAAGUCUUUUUGUUUUGGAAAGGCUGAUGUCAGCGUUGCCUCAGCUUGCCUUGUAGCUCUAGGUCUUGGUUUCUAGCCCAGACCUCUAUAGGGUUUAUUUUUAGGGGGAGUGAGAACUCAUUAAGACUUAAUUCUGGUAUAUUGUCACUCUCUUAGCUGUCAGAAGCCAGGGAGGUGCAGAACUGCUCGGUGGAGCUGGGUUUUGCGGGGCUCACCAAGGGAUUGCCAUCAGGUAGGAGGUGACCGUCAGCAGUAACGAACCUGUGCAGGCCACGCUGAGGCGAGGGGCUCUCUGAGUUUGGCACAAAAGCCUUGAAAGGUCAUGUUGGGGAAAAAAAAAGCCUCCAUCUCUCCGUUUUCCAGCCCGUGUUUUCCCAUCUCAGAAGUGCGAGCAGGAGUUCACGGUGCCGUGGUGGAACAGAGCACAGCUGUUGGGCUGCAGCACAGCCUGGGGAGCAGGGAGCUAGGUUCAGUUUCUGCUUUGCUUCAGCCACGGUGCGAGUUGUUGAGCAAGUAGCUCUCUUUGCUGCAUCCAGGAUCCCUUGUUAAAAGUAAGUGGAGUAUGAAACUGUCCUGGAAACUGCUGAGAAACAUGACAGAAACUGAGUGCUAUUAAGUGUCUGGCCUUUUUUCACCCCCUCCAUAACCACCAUCUGUUUCCUGUGAGACUUAGCAGUGGUAACGUCUUCGGAACGAAACAGUGCUGGGUCAAAAAUGUCUUUGCUGGACCCCAUUGGAAAUACCCAGAAGGAUUUAAGUCAGCCUGAAAGCUGUCUGACCCUUCUGCCCCUCUGGAUGAGGCCAGUGUCACGCUGUACAGUACACGCUCAGCUUGGAGCUCAGUGCUGAGAAUGCUGUCCAGCUCGUGGCCGUAGCUGACUGUAAUGUCAAGAGAUCAGUCUCCUCAAGCUCAGCUUGACCCGUGCCAUAUAUACACACUCCUUUUUCUCACUUACCUCUCUGUCCACCUGCAGGUUGCCAUGCUCAUCCCGUGGUGCUGAGGACGCGCGCGGCUCAGCAGGAGGGGAAGGUGACCCCAGCGCUCCUGCUUCAGGGAAAGCAGGGAGAAGUUUCUUGGGUUUUCUGUUUGUUUUCUCUGGACGGGGCGUUCACAUCUGGUUUGGCUAAACUCUUCCAGCUAUUCUCCUUUCCCCCCAUAAAGGCCUUGGAUCCCUGGGAGGAUGCUUGCCUAACUGGCCCUCCGAGGUGAAGCUGAAGGGAGCUGAACACCAUGUACCAGCGCAGCUCGUAAUGCUUUGAGGAAUGGGACUCUGUGACGUUCCUCAGCUCUGGAUUCAGUUUUUCCAUACGGACACUUAAACGCCUUUGGCUCACGCAGGGAUUUUUAUCUUGACAGAGCUCAGCGUGCUGUGGUUGCUUGUUGUCCAGCACUGCGGCUCGGUUGGGCACCGGACCUGGUGCAGCAGGGGUACCAGAGAAAACUGCUCGAAGCUGGAGGGGAGGAAGGCUUCUGAGAGUGUUCCUCCAUCCUGAGCAGGGAGUGCCCACUGUGUGAGAUGGGUGUGGAUGGGCUUCUCCAGCCCCUCUCUGCCUUUUAAUGCCUGACUUCACCAAGGUAGCUGGUUGGACUCACUUGAUGGUGUCCUGGCUGCUUUCUGAUUUCAGGGUUGUUGCUUGCGUCUCUUUGGCUUUGAAAGUGUUUCGGAUGCCUCCUGCCUCCCAGUCAUUGCUGAGGGGACCUGUUUGUUGGAGGCAGGUGGGCUCUCGGUCCUGGUCACUUCGCAGAAGCCUGUGACCAGAGCACUUCUGGCUAGAGGAAAUAAGAAUUCAGUUCUCUAGACAUCAAGGCCAGUAGAAAAUACUUUUUUUCCUAGAAAAUCUAGAAAAUCAGCAGCCUUCCAUCUUACCAAGCACAGCUGGCAGAGAGAUGUGCUCAGUUAUGCAGACAGUGAAUUUUCCUUUUAAGAUGGGGCACGGCUGCUGCAGUGAAACCAAUUUAUUUUUUUUUCUGCAUUUAGAUUGUCCUCAAUAAAGCUGAGCACAAACGUAACCACAUGGCUUAACGCGUGGGCUUUUUUUUUU